GGGUAGUUUGACUGGGGCGGUCUCCUCCUAAAGAGUAACGGAGGAGCACGAAGGUUGGCUAAUCCUGGUCGGACAUCAGGAGGUUAGUGCAAUGGCAUAAGCCAGCUUGACUGCGAGCGUGACGGCGCGAGCAGGUGCGAAAGCAGGUCAUAGUGAUCCGGUGGUUCUGAAUGGAAGGGCCAUCGCUCAACGGAUAAAAGGUACUCCGGGGAUAACAGGCUGAUACCGCCCAAGAGUUCAUAUCGACGGCGGUGUUUGGCACCUCGAUGUCGGCUCAUCACAUCCUGGGGCUGAAGUAGGUCCCAAGGGUAUGGCUGUUCGCCAUUUAAAGUGGUACGCGAGCUGGGUUUAGAACGUCGUGAGACAGUUCGGUCCCUAUCUGCCGUGGGCGCUGGAGAACUGAGGGGGGCUGCUCCUAGUACGAGAGGACCGGAGUGGACGCAUCACUGGUGUUCGGGUUGUCAUGCCAAUGGCACUGCCCGGUAGCUAAAUGCGGAAGAGAUAAGUGCUGAAAGCAUCUAAGCACGAAACUUGCCCCGAGAUGAGUUCUCCCUGACUCCUUGAGAGUCCUGAAGGAACGUUGAAGACGACGACGUUGAUAGGCCGGGUGUGUAAGCGCAGCGAUGCGUUGAGCUAACCGGUACUAAUG
rnacentral:rRNA from 1 species